UACGAAGGGGGCUAGCGUUGUUCGGAUUUACUGGGCGUAAAGCGCACGUAGGCGGAUCGAUCAGUCAGGGGUGAAAUCCCAGAGCUCAACUCUGGAACUGCCUUUGAUACUGUCGAUCUGGAGUAUGGAAGAGGUGAGUGGAAUUCCGAGUGUAGAGGUGAAAUUCGUAGAUAUUCGGGGGAACACCAGUGGCGAAGGCGGCUCACUGGUCCAUUACUGACGCUGAGGUGCGAAAGCGUGGGGAGCAAACAGG
rnacentral:rRNA from 1 species